rnacentral:rRNA from 1 species
AAAUGAAUAGACGGGCACCCGCACAAGCGGUGGAGCAUGCUGUUUAAUUCGAAACUACGCGAAGAACCUUACCUAGAUUUGACAUCCCGGGCAAAGCUAUAGAGAUAUAGUGGAGGCUAUCCCGGUGACAGAUGGUGCAUGGUUGUCGUCAGCUCGUGUCGUGAGAUGUUUGGUUAAGUCCAACAACGAGCGCAACCCUCGUCUUUAGUUGCUAACAUUAAGUUGAGAACUCUAGAGAUACUGCCAGUGUAAACUGGAGGAAGGUGGGGAUGACGUCAAAUCAUCAUGCCUCUUACAUCUAGGGCUACAGGCGUGCUACAAUGGCCAAUACAACGAGUCGCAACACGGCAACGUGAAGCUAAUCUCUGAAAGUUGGUCCCAGUUCGGAUUGGAGUCUGCAACUCGACUCCAUGAAGUUGGAAUCGCUAGUAAUCGUGAAUCAGAAUGUCGCGGUGAAUACGUUCUCGGGUGUUGUACACACCGCCCGU